ACUUAGCCAACAAGAUUUUGACUUUUCUUAUUGGUUUCUCACUUCUGCCUUAUCCAGUAAGACAAACCCCUAAACCACCCUCGCUAAGAUUACUCUCUAAAAGCCAUUAUUAUUAACAGUUGGAGAUAUUAUGAUGAAUUUUCCCAUAUUUCUAUUUUAUUUUAUUUUGUUUUUUUCCUCUAAAAAUAGUUGACCCAUUCAUGGUUGACUUAAUGUGCUUAUGUCCAACAUCUUUUGUGUUGUGGUAAUGGAAUGAUUUCGUAAACUGAUGGAUGUUAAACUUGCAGGGCAUUCACAAUUAACAUAGCAGAACAUAUUAGAAUCCUUGUAACUAACAUAUAAAGAGACGUGAAGCGAACACGCAAACACUUAAUUAACUUAAGCAAAGACCAUGCAAGUUCAUUGUAUCAUAG
rnacentral:lncRNA from 1 species